UUAAUACUCUCUCCAUCCGAAGAUACUUGUCAUCAAAAUGAACAAAAAAGAAUGUAUCUAGAACUAAAAUAUAUUUAGAUACAUUCCUUUUUAUACAUUUUGAUGACAAAUAUCUCCGUUAGGGAGUAUUUU
rfam:Triticum aestivum genome assembly, contig: Triticum_aestivum_CS42_TGACv1_scaffold_423186_5BS